AGCCACUGCAAGAUCAUAGACAGGCGAGGAGAACUCACAAAGUGAAAUUUUCAUGAUAUGGGACCUUUACAAAUGGAGAAACCCCACUGGGGGUUUGCUUUCUUUGUCAUAGUCAUAUUAUAACAGGAGAGCUUCAGUGGACUGUUUUUUGCUCCUUCUCACACAAAGCUUUAAAGCUUCUCUUCUCUUCUGAACUCCUGGAAUUAUUGUUAUUAAAAGAAUAUACAUAACCACCACUCAACAACUGUACCUGUGAAACAUCCUUUUCUUUUUCUAUGUCUGCCUGUAGUUUACUGGAUUGCUGCCACUCCGUAUGUAAGGCAGACUGCAGACGUCUGACCUCUUCUUUCAGCAGCUGCAUCUGAGGGGGUGACAAGAGAUCCCUGAACAUUCCAACACCAGUGCUGAGAGUCUAAUACCUCAAAGCCCUCUGAAAUGAUAAAGUAUAGAGCACACAUUGAAAACAAGUAUUUUUAUAUGUUGUUGUUUUUUUUUUAUUUAGAACCUUUUGGUACAGAGAACAGUCAAGUUGCAGUUUCUGAAUCAAGUUCCUCUGUCCCUCUGCUCAGCUCACCCCAGGCAAAGUGCAUCGUGUCUCUGGAGGAAGGUGAUGAGGCACCAGGCUCACCCGCUUUGGUCUCCAGGGUCUCAGGUCUCUCCAGCAGUGAGGACCUCUCUGCAAGCAGGUAGGCCACCUGCUCGCUGGGGCUGAAUGGGAUGAGCUCGACCAGGCCGGCCUGGUACAGCAUCUCCGCCACCUCGUUCUUUUGAGAAUCUGCACAGAGCCGUCGGGGUACAGCAGGUCACCACCACAGAGGUGCCAGCCAACUCAGAUCAAAUCAAAAGGAGAGCGCGCACCUUGCUGAAGGCUCAUCUGCUUCAACUGGGUGUGCAGCAUUUGGUUUUCCUGCCCGUACUUCAGACCCACUAAGUUCUGCUUAUCGCUCAGAGCUCGAAUUUGCUCCAGCGUCUUCUGGACCUUAGAGCGCACAGGUAAGAUUAGACAUGCAGCUCAAAACUAGAAAUUCCAAAUCAAGCCUAAGGUCCAUCACCUACAUACCAUUGCCUUCUCUGCCACAUGCUCUGACUGCAGGGACUUCAGCUUGUGCGUGACUGUGCCGAGGCUGUUCUCCGUCCGUCUGUAGAGCUUCCACAGGUGCAGCAGUCGCUGCGUCAUGCUGGCCUCGGGGCUCAUGCCAUCCUCCACCAGUCGAAUCUCCAUCUCCUCCAGCUCCUUAAAACACUGUGUUAACAUACACAUGUAAAAACUGUAACCUCAGUUUUACAUACAGUGUAAAAUCUCAGGUAUGACAUCCUUCAAAAUACACAAUUCUUGGAAAUUCUUGGAAAUAACUUGUGUCCAAACCCUACCAGGACCUCUUCAAGCAUCUAGUACUAAAUACAAGCCUGAUAUGUCUUGUGAAUAAUUAUAUUAUUUGUACUAAUUCUCACAUGUUUUCAGUAUACACAAUACACAAUAAAGUAGUAAUGAUGGCAAUAUGCUUCCA
rnacentral:lncRNA from 1 species